rnacentral:SRP_RNA from 14 species
GCCGGGAGUUGUGGCGGGCUCUUGUAAACCAGUUUCCAGGUGGCUUAGGAUGGGGAGGAUCUGCCUGUUGGAAGAACACCUGUCUGCUUUACGUCGUUGACCGAGUGUCCGUGUCAAGCGUAGCGUCGAUAGGCCAUCAGUUGGGGAACCUCCUGAUGACCGGUCGUAGUCAGUCCUCUGACUUAUAAAGAGAGAUGGAUGGCUCAGGCCCGUGAGGGAGCAGGCAAAAGUCUCCGCGCUAUGACAGUGACCGGAUGGCAUACGCGAGGCGUUGAGUUUCAGGUGCCAGUAGUAUAUGUUCCCACCUAUUCUUU